UGCCAGCCGCCGCGGUAAUACGGAGGGGGUUAGCGUUGUUCGGAAUUACUGGGCGUAAAGCGCGUGUAGGCGGUUCGUUAAGUCUGAUGUGAAAGCCCGGGGCUCAACCCCGGAAGUGCAUUGGAAACUGGCGAACUUGAGUACGGGAGAGGAAAGUGGAAUUCCGAGUGUAGGGGUGAAAUCCGUAGAUAUUCGGAGGAACACCAGUGGCGAAGGCGGCUUUCUGGGCCGAUAUUGACGCUGAGGCGCGAAGGCGUGGGUAGCGAACGGGAUUAGAUA
rnacentral:rRNA from 1 species